GUUAAGGACUUGAAAUAACGCAUGUAGUGGUCCAGGUCGGUUGUACACUUGCACCAUUUUUAGGGAAUUAGGGUUCGGCUGCGAGGAGUUUUGAUGAUUUUGAUCGGGCGUUGAAUUUAAAUUUGGCACGGAUUUUACACAGAAAAAAAUGGCGGAGAAAGUGGAGAUGAAUAACAGCGUGAAGAAGGUAAUUUCGCCAUGCGAUGUGGAGGCUCUGAAGAAGUGUUUGGAAGAGAACAAAGGGGACUAUUUGAAGUGCCAGUCUCAAGUCGAAGCCUUCAGGUCUUCGUGUUCUCUCAAGAAGCCCGCUUCAGCUCCAGAACCCUCGCUAAAUCCAGAUUCUUUUGUCAGGGACCGCAGAUAACCGAACAGACUGGAUGUGACCUCAGAAAAUGAAGUUGGUUUGCGGUGGCUCAGUAGCACUUUGACUCUUUUCUUUUCCUGUAUUUCUUCAUGGUUUAAAAAAUAGUUGGCUCCGAAAUUUUAGUUGUGAAUUGUGAUAGUAAAUGAGAAGGAAAUUACAGUGAAAAUAAACUGUGUCCAACAGCAUUUGAGAAGGUCACUCAAUAGUCAAGAGGCCUGUAGCAAGUUGACAUGGUCUGUGCCACAUUACUGAAUUAUUAUAUCAAAAUUUUGAGUCUUUUGUUAGACAGAGUUCCAAAAAUAUCAAUAUGCGUACCAAGUGGUUUGGUACUAUAUAAGCUUCAAUACUUCAAGACAGCCAAA